UUAGUGGAAGCGUCUGGAAAGGCGCGCGAUACAGGGUGACAGCCCCGUACACAAAAGCGCAUGUGCUGUGAGCUCGAUGAGUAGGGCGGGACACGUGGUAUCCUGUCUGAAUAUGGGGGGACCAUCCUCCAAGGCUAAAUACUCCUGACUGACCGAUAGUGAACCAGUACCGUGAGGGAAAGGCGAAAAGAACCCCGGCGAGGGGAGUGAAAAAGAACCUGAAACCGUGUACGUACAAGCAGUGGGAGCCCCACCACUAAGCCAGUGGUGAACUCCACAUACGCAUCCUUUGCUGAGGAUGCGGUUAACGGAGCGAAAGCGACGUUCAACCGCAAAAGAAGCAGAGGGGGCUUAGUGGUGGGGUGACUGCGUACCUUUUGUAUAAUGGGUCAGCGACUUAUAUUCUGUAGCAAGGUUAACCGAAUAGGGGAGCCGGAGGGAAACCGAGUCUUAAUUGGGCGUUAAGUUGCAGGGUAUAGACCCGAAACCCGGUGAUCUAGCCAUGGGCAGGUUGAAGGUUGGGUAACACUAACUGGAGGACCGAACCGACUAAUGUUGAAAAAUUAGCGGAUGACCUGUGGCUGGGGGUGAAAGGCCAAUCAAACCGGGAGAUAGCUGGUUCUCCCCGAAAGCUAUUUAGGUAGCGCCUCGUGAAUU
rnacentral:rRNA from 1 species